rnacentral:rRNA from 1 species
GACGAACGCUGGCGGCGUGCUUAACACAUGCAAGUCGAACGGAGAUUAUUAAUGAAGCUUGCGAUUUAAUAAUCUUAGCGGCGGACGGGUGAGGAAUGCAUCGGAAUCUACCUCGUUGUGGGGGAUAACCUCGGGAAACCGGGACUAAUACCGCAUACGACCUACGGGUGAAAGUGGGGGACCUUCGGGCCUCACGCGAUGAGAUGAGCCGAUGCCGGAUUAGCUAGUUGGCGGGGUAAAGGCCCACCAAGGCGACGAUCCGUAGCUGGUCUGAGAGGAUGAUCAGCCACACUGGAACUGAGACACGGUCCAGACUCCUACGGGAGGCAGCAGUGGGGAAUAUUGGACAAUGGGCGCAAGCCUGAUCCAGCCAUCCCGCGUGCAGGAAGACGGCCCUAUGGGUUGUAAACUGCUUUUCCACGGGAAGAACCCUCCGACGUGUCGGAGACUGACGGUACCGUGGGAAUAAGCAUCGGCUAACUCCGUG